rnacentral:rRNA from 1 species
UACAGAGGUCUCAAGCGUUGUUCGGAUUCAUUGGGCGUAAAGGGUGCGUAGGUGGCGCCGUAAGUCGGGUGUGAAAUUUCGGAGCUUAACUCCGAAACUGCAUUCGAUACUGCGGUGCUUGAGAACUGGAGAGGAGACUGGAAUUCAUGGUGUAGCAGUGAAAUGCGUAGAGAUCAUGAGGAAGACCAGUGGCGAAGGCGGGUCUCUGGACAGUUCCUGACACUGAGGCACGAGGGCCAGGGGAGCAAACGGG